rnacentral:rRNA from 1 species
CCUACGGGAGGCAGCAGUGAGGAAUAUUGGUCAAUGGCCGUAAGGCUGAACCAGCCAAGUAGCGUGAGGGAAGACUGCCCUAUGGGUUGUAAACCUCUUUUAUGCGGGGAUAAAGGUGUCCACGUGUGGAUGUUUGCAGGUACCGCAUGAAUAAGGACCGGCUAAUUCCGUGCCAGCAGCCGCGGUAAUACGGAAGGUCCGGGCGUUAUCCGGAUUUAUUGGGUUUAAAGGGAGCGUAGGCCGGUCUUUAAGCGUGCCGUGAAAUUUUGUGGCUCAACCAUGAGAGUGCGGCGCGAACUGGAGACCUUGAGUGCGCGGAAGGCAGGCGGAAUUCGUGGUGUAGCGGUGAAAUGCUUAGAUAUCGCGCAGAACCCCGAUUGCGAAGGCAGCGUACCGGCUCCACACUGACGCUGAGGCACGAAAGCGUGGGUAUCGAACAGGAUUAGAUACCCUAGUAGUC